UUCCAUCGAGCUAAGCUCCUCGUUGACGACUGGGCUGUUUGCAGUGUUCCCAACAUCCUCCAAUUGCUGUUGCUCAGUGGUAGGAUGAUCAAGCAGUUCGUUACUUGGUUCAUCCACCGCUACAGGUAAAGGAGCUUCAGUAACAGCCAAUUUCUCAAUUUCAGGAGCUGAAUCUCUCGUUUUCUCAGAAGAAUUAACCACUAUUUGUUCAACAUCUAGAGCUGAGGAUUUUGAUGUUUUAGCUUGAGCUUGAGCUUGAGCCUGAGCCUGAGCCAGAUUAGGAGUUUCUUGUACCUUCUCACUUUCUGUUUCUGUCCUUUCAGAAGGUGUUGCCAAAGCUGCAGAAACUUUUCUUAAAUUGCGCUUGACUUUCUCAAGUUCAUUUUGAGGCUGAUCCAGCACUGGCUCUAUGUGAGAUUGCUUGGCUCCACUGCUACAGGUAAAGGAGCUUCAGCUACAGCUAAUUUCUCACUCGUUUUCUCAGAAGAAUUAACCACUAUUUGUUCAACAUAUGGAGCUGAGGAUUUUGAUGUUUUAGCUUGAGCUUGAGCUUGAGCCUGAGCCAGAUUAGGAGUUUGUUGUACCUUCUCAGUUUCUGUUUCCGACCUUUCUAAAGGUGUUGCCAAAGAUGCAGAAACUUUUCUUAAAUUGCGCUUGACUU
rnacentral:lncRNA from 1 species